CCUACGGGAGGCAGCAGUAGGGAAUAUUGCUCAAUGGGGGAAACCCUGAAGCAGCAACGCCGCGUGGAGGAUGAAGGUUUUCGGAUUGUAAACCCCUUUUGUUAGGGAAGAUAAUGACGGUAUCUAACGAAUAAGCACCGGCUAACUCCGUGCCAGCAGCCGCGGUAAUACGGAGGGGGCAAGCGUUACCCGGAAUCACUGGGCGUAAAGAGAGCGUAGGCGGGAUAGCAAGUCAGAUGUGAAAUCCUAUGGCUUAACCAUAGAACUGCAUUUGAAACUGUGAUUCUAGAGUAUGGGAGGGGUAGGUGGAAUUCUUGGUGUAGGGGUAAAAUCCGUAGAGAUCAAGAGGAAUACUCAUUGCGAAGGCGACCUGCUAGAACAUAACUGACGCUGAGGCGCGAAAGCGUGGGGAGCAAACAGGAUUAGAUACCCCUGUAGUC
rnacentral:rRNA from 1 species